AUGGUGAGGCCAGGGCCUGUCACCACCACUGCUGCCACCGAACAACAGAGAAAGCUCCAGGAGUACCUAGAAGUCGAAAGGAACUUCAAGUGCCAAACACUGAGCUUUAUCUAAAAGCCAAAAAUAAUUGCCCAAAUCUAUCCAAGAGAAUGUUAUCAAUCAUGCUGUUUUGCCUGUUAAAGCAUAAGGCCCAUCAGCAUUAAACUCCAGGCCAGACAAGCCAAUAUUACAAGGUCCCAGAAGCCAAAGUUGAAGCCACUAAAACUGGGCAAAAGGCUGAAUAUGUUCCUUCUAACCAAACUGUAAGCCUCCAGCAGUAGCUUACAGCAGCACAAAGCUGGAUCAUUCACCAUGGAAAAGCUGUCAAGAAAACCCAUGGGGUCACUUAAUGCACAGGAUUUGAAGACUACAAAGCAGCAGUUAACAUAUCAAGGAAUGUUAAGUGUACAGACUCCAUAGGAAAUGCCCGCAUUGAAAAUUAAUCUUUGGUUAGCUUUCUAAAAGAGAUUAAUGAAGAGAAUUUGCCUCAAACCUUGUCAGACCCUGAGAGGAAGCCAGACUCUCAAUUAUGUACUAUAAAGAAGUUAAAGAAUAACUCUCAUAAUUGAACCAAGAGCAAUUUGGUUCCUCAACAAGCCUUGGGCAGAUAUUCAGUGACUAGUGCUGCCCUGAAAGACAGAGUUCAUAAACAAUUUGUUGGAGAAACACAAGUCAAGCUUCUAUCAGUAAAGUCAUAGCAACUCUCUCAAGAAGAUCUUCCAAGACUGGGAGAAAAGCCCCCAAGACAGUUCCCUCUCUCUUUGUUCAGACCCUUAGUAGGACUCAAGCAUCAAAAAUAAAAAAUUAAUGGUGGAGGGUACAAAGGUUAAUAGGGUUAAUUAUUAAAGAGCAUGUAUAAGUUAGUGAAUAGGAAGUAAAACAUACCAAAACCAGGACAUACUCCAGUUUGUUUCAGGGAGGAUAUAGUAACAGACAUUUAAACAUUAAGCAAGAUCAGCAGUCCAUUCAACCUUGUUUUGGGCCUUGGUCGUGUGCACUGCAAAAAUCAAAAGCUAUAAGCCAGAGGCUAGUUUGACAGUUGGCAGCUUAAAUUCAGUCAUUCCCAGCACCCACGGCGUAAGAGCAAAUGGAACUAAUGGGGACAAAUGCCACAACAGCUUACAACAUAGAGCACAGGCAUUGGUCUCCAAGCUGAAAAAGGCUCUUCUGUUUUCUAAACAAGAGAGCUCCCAAAACUCAAGCUGGUAACACAAUCAUGAAGGAAAAGGAGUGUCAAAAGGGACCCAAAUGAAUCCAAAUACCGAAAAGAAGACAAUAGCAGAGGAUCAAAGGAAACAACUGGAAGAAUGACAGAAAUCUAAGGGGAAAAUCUAUAAGUGGCCUCCUAUGACACGUAAAACAGAAAGAAAAAUAAUAGAGAAAAUAAAUAUUCUGGAAGACCGUUGAAAAAAAAGAGGAAGAAAAGAAAGCACAGCUUCAACUGCUCCAUAAAACUAACAACACUCUGACAGAAUGUCUGCAGCUCAUUGAAAGGGGUGUGGUUUUUAAGGAAAUAUUUGCCAUAUUGUCUAGUAUUCCUGAGGCUGAAGAACUGCUAAAUUCUGGUUCUACAAAGCAAAGUUGUUAGCCAAGAAAGGCACCUAUGAUGCUACUGGGCUAUAUGAAAAGGCCAUUAAAAAUGAGGCAAUACCAACACAAGUGUUACAGGAAGUUGUUCUUAACAUUUUGCAAGACCCAAACAAAACCAUGGAAGGAAUCACCUCUGACUUUUUAGUUGCUAAAACUGACAUGACAUCAGCAGAAGAGCUGGCCAAGAGGAUGGAAUCUGGAAAGUCUUGUUCUUCUCAAAAAAAAAAAACCAAACAAACAAACAAAAAGGAACAGGUACAGCAACACCCCAAAUAAUGAAGGCAUAACAGGAUAAUCAUCCUGAUAUCAAAUUGCAGAUCGCUCCAGCCCUGGAAUAAAUGGAGUGGCAGAAUUGCAAGACGUGAAACUUAUCACUCCUGUACGGGGUUCAGUGGAGAUCAAACAAGCAGUAUCCCACUACCUGGAAAGGCUGCAGGAAUGCAAUUUAGUAGUGACUUCUCUUGACAAGCUAUUAGGUGUGAAAGAAACACAGCAUUUUAUAUUUUAUAAAAAUGAGAUUUUGCCUGUAACGUUAGGAUUUCAAAUCCUUGAAUCA
rnacentral:lncRNA from 10 species